rnacentral:rRNA from 1 species
CCUACGGGAGGCAGCAGUGAGGAAUAUUGGUCAAUGGACGAGAGUCUGAACCAGCCAAGUAGCGUGAAGGAUGACUGCCCUAUGGGUUGUAAACUUCUUUUAUAAAGGAAUAAAACGAGGCACGUGUGCCUUUUUGCAUGUACUUUAUGAAUAAGGAUCGGCUAACUCCGUGCCAGCAGCCGCGGUAAUACGGAGGAUCCGAGCGUUAACCGGAUUUAUUUGGUUUAAAGGGAGCGUAGAUGGGUUGUUAAGUCAGUUGUGAAAGUUUGCGGCUCAACCGUAAAAUUGCAGUUGAUACUGGUAGUCUUGAGUACAGUAGAGGUAGGCGGAAUUCGUGGUGUAGCGGUGAAAUGCUUAGAUAUCACGAAGAACCCCGAUUGCGAAGGCAGCUUACUAAACUGUGACUGACAUUGAUGCUCGAAAGUGUGGGUAUCAAACAGGAUUAGAUACCCGAGUAGUC